rnacentral:tRNA from 1 species
GGCACGGUGGUGCAGUGGGUAACACUGUCGACUCAUAGCAAGAAGGUUCUGGGUUUGAAUCCCAGCCUGGGCCU